GCGCGAAAACUUUACAAUGCGAGAAAUCGUGAUAAGGGAACCCCGAGUGCCCGUAAAUUCGGGCUGUCCAUCAGUGUAAAAAACUGGUGAAGAAAGGGCCGGGCAAGACCGGUGCCAGCCGCCGCGGUAACACCGGCGGCUCGAGUGGUAACCGUUAUUAUUGGGUCUAAAGGGUCUGUAGCCGGCCGGAUAAGUCUCUUGGGAAAUCUGGCAGCUUAACUGUCAGGCUUUCAGGAGAUACUGUCUGGCUCGAGGCCGGGAGAGGUGAGAGGUACUUCAGGGGUAGGGUGAAAUCUUGUAAUCCUUGAAGGACCACCAGUGGCGAAGGCGUCUCACCAGAACGGACCUGACGGCAAGGGACGAAAGCUAGGGGCACGAACCGGAUUAGAUACCCGGGUAGUCCUAGCCGUAAACGAUACUCGCUAGGUGUCGGCAACGGUGCGACCGUUGUCGGUGCCGUAGGAAGCCGUGAAGCGAGCCACCUGGGAAGUACGGCCGCAAGGCUGAAACUUAAAGGAAUUGGCGGGGGA
rnacentral:rRNA from 1 species